CUACACCACAGCUCUGUGGCAAUGCUGGAUCCUUCAACCCACAUUGCUGAGCUGGGCUAGAUAUCAAACCUGCACCUCUGCAGUGAUCUGAGCUGCUGCAGUCAGAUUUUCAACCCACUGCACCACAGUGGGAACUCCUAUCAUUCUUUUUAAAGGAAGGGAUGUAGGAAAGACACAAAUGGGAAAGGACAAUACAUGUUCCAAGGUUGUGCCUAUAGAAGUGAAACAUCCUCUAAACGUUUUGGAUUUUUUUGUGUUUUAUUCCUUCUCUAUGAACCAUACUCUGUGAAAGAGAAGAGUCAGGCAUAAUUCCAUGCAACUGCCUUGCAUUACACCUAGGGUGAUCACUCACCUGUAGACAUUUACAUCUAUAUUGUCCCAAGAGAACUAUAUAGAUUUAUCCACCUGAAAGAGAAGUGAUUGGGAUGUAUGCUUGCUAUCUUAGCUAUCUUAGUCCAAGGACAGUUUUCAAAAUAAGGUUUUUAAUUUUGAGUACAAUUUCAAAAAAUUAUACACUGUCAAGUAACUCAGGCCUGUCUAUAACAAUGAUGAAUUCAAAUAAUUUCCAAUCUUAAUGACUCAGACCACUAUAGUAACACAGCAUGGCUCUUAGAGAUUCAUGUGCCAGCCUAGAAAAAUCACAAAUCACACCUUAUCAUCAAGGAACAUGCAUUAUAAAGUGCAUUGUAAGGUCACUGUCAUAGAUUAAAGAAAGUAGUUUUUAAGAGAACAUGACAAGAGAGAUAAAAAGCAAAAGAAGAACAAUUUAGUAAUAAAGUAUAUGAAAUAGUUGACUAAAUUUAUAUUUUACAAAGAAAACUGCCAAUUCUAACUCACCUAGAAACCCAGAUCUUACUUUACAUAAUCUGUGACUACAUAAAUAUAUAAAUAUUUUAUGGAUAAGUUAUAGGUAACCACUACCACUGCAAACAAAAUAUAUUGAAGGCAGAAAUAAUUCUCCCCCCCCAUAUCUGGCCCCCAGCAUCACCAUUUCCACACUUGGCCAUGGGUACCAAUAUAAUUCCAGUUUCUCUCCACUCACACCCACCACAGGAAAUGUUUGAGUCAUUUUUAGCUUCUACAUUUCCCUCUAUAGCCAAUCAGUCUUCAGACCCUUCUACUCAUUGCUAUAAAAUUCUCUUAGACUUGAUACCAUUAUUGCUUGUUUUUGUUUGGUUUCCCUCUUGCUGUCCUUCUAGAUCAUUUGUUGGUACCUCUUCCUCUGCCACACCUUAAACAAAGGCUAUCUCUGGGGUUCGGUGAGAGCCUUUUCUUUGUUCACUGUU
rnacentral:lncRNA from 1 species